UGGCGAACGGGUGAGUAACGCGUGGGUAACCUGCCUCACACUGGGGGACAACAGUUAGAAAUGACUGCUAAUACCGCAUAAGCGCACAGGACCGCAUGGUCCGGUGUGAAAAACUCCGGUGGUGUGAGAUGGACCCGCGUUUGAUUAGCUAGUUGGUGGGGUAACGGCCUACCAAGGCGACGAUCAAUAGCCGACCUGAGAGGGUGACCGGCCACAUUGGGACUGAGACACGGCCCAA
rnacentral:rRNA from 1 species